UUAUAAAAGUUAUUGCUAAGUGUGGGGAAUUUUAGCUAAGUCAAAGUUCCUGUCUUAUUAAUUAAGCAUUUUCUUGGAGUUAAAUGUUCUACAGCAAAUAAAUAGGCACAGAGAAACUGGUAGUCUGGGUAGAUUCAAAGCAUCUUUAAGAGAAAAUGUCUUGGGGAGCCCCAAGGAACUGUUGAAGUUAAGUGUGCCAUCGUUAGUGUAUGCUGUUCAGAACAACAUGGCUUUCCUAGCUCUUAGCAAUCUGGAUGCAGCAGUGUACCAGGUGACCUACCAGUUAAAGAUUCCGUGUACUGCUUUAUGCACUGUUUUAAUGUUAAACCGGACACUCAGCAAAUUACAGUGGGUUUCAGUUUUUAUGCUGUGUGCUGGAGUCACGCUUGUACAGUGGAAACCAGCCCAAGCUACAAAAGUUGUGGUGGAACAAAAUCCAUUAUUAGGGUUUGGUGCUAUAGCUAUUGCUGUAUUGUGCUCAGGAUUUGCAGGUUAGGAGCUAUGGAGUAGGAUGAUGAGGUGGGUCAAGAGUACCUUAGAAAGCAUAAUACAUAAAACUAACAACCAAACAGGGAGGAAAGACAACACAAAAUCACUAACAUCAAAAAUCCAUGGAAGUCUGGAGUUGUACGUGUAGGGACAAGCACUCCUGCAAUGCAUCAAGAUAAGAAAGUAUGAAUAUUAAGUGUAACAUAAAAAAAGUUUUAGAAAUAGUUCCAGCAGAGAUGAUAGUUUUUAAUAUAUUCUGCUUAAAGCUUUUAGUGGAAUUUAUUAGUUAUAGCUAUACAUCUUUAUUAUGUAUCUGUAUUUGUACCUAUUUCAAGUCAGGACUCUAUUUUUGAUUAGGAAAGCAGGCUGAAUACAGAAGUAAAAUACUGCUUGUAAAUAAGAUGUUGUAUAGGAGGGGAAAAUAUAGAUUCAGGAAUAUACUUAAUGAUAGCAUUGUGUUCUAGAAACCAACAAAUUGGGAACAAAAAUUGAGUUACCUAAAAAAUAUACUAUUUGAUUUUUUGCAGUAUCUUGAAUAGUUAAAUGAUUAUGUUCAACAUUUUAUUAACUCACUCUCUUAAUACACAAUUGAGGAAACAGAGGGUGGUUUAAUCUCUCUCUGUGUUUGGGGUAACUGGGCACUGGAUAAAUGUUUUUCCCAGAAGGUAAAAUCAAAGGUGAAAAUAAGAAUAGCUAUUUUAUGUUCCCAUUCCAACACAGACUCAUCAAAAAUAAUCUUGGUUUUCGUUAGACUUUUUAGUUGAUAAAUACUUCAUUGGCAAUUGCUAAGUCUGUAACAUGAUGUUUAUAACUAAAAUAUUUAAUGGCUUUGUAAAAUAUGCAUUCAUUUUAAGUAUAAAUCCAGAGAGACGGGGGACUUUUGUGGGGGAGGGGUAUCAUGUACUCCUUUGAAGUAUCUGAAAAAAAUCUAUGGACCUUCAGCUCCAGAAAAAUGCACAUAUACACAAAAUUUAUUAUCCAGUUGGGGAGUUCAUGAUCCUUCUGACCUUGUGUAUGAACUUGGCUUGUGGAACCCUGUUUUAAAGGAAAAUGGCUUCACACAGCAAAUUCUACUUACAUUUUGGUUGUUACUCUGAAAAGAUUCCUAGUGUUGAUUAUAGAUUAUAUUGCAGAAUUAGGAGUAUUCAUUAGUAGGCAGAUAUUACAGGGGUGUGAUUAUAAUUCACUCUUAAUAGUGUAGUUUUUCAGCUGACCAAAGCAAAUAAUUUACUGGCGUUAAGUAGUACAGAGAGCUUUUGUGGUCUAUCUUACUGCUAUAAUAAAGGCAGAAACUGUCUUAACAGCCUUCUGUUAAAUGUAGCUUAUAAACUUUCCACUGUUAUUAUUCUAUAUACUCUGUAAAAACAUAAAUUUAUAAUGUACAGUAUGCCAUGUGUCACAACCUGCAUAAUAAGUGCACAUUCAAGUAAAGUAUGUUUUGUUCCCCAAAUCAUAUACUUUAUAUAUCUCUAGGAUAUUUUUCUAAAGGAAAGACAUUUUAAAUUAAUUUAUAGUAAUCUUUAAUAUUUGCAUGUCUAAUUUUCUUCUUUCAGGAGUAUAUUUUGAAAAAGUUUUAAAGAGUUCAGAUACUUCUCUUUGGGUGAGAAACAUUCAAAUGUAUCUAUCAGGGAUUAUUGUGACAUUAGUUGGCGUCUACUUGUCAGAUGGAGCUGAAAUUAAAGAAAAAGGAUUUUUCUAUGGUUACACAUAUUAUGUCUGGUUUGUCAUCUGUAAGUAUCCAGGAAUUAAAGGUUCUUAGUAGAUCCUUUAUUUUUUAAGUUAGAUGUCCAUUUUAAGCUGUUAUAACAUUUUGAAAUUAAUCCUUUGAUACUGUAAAUACCAGUUUGAAUGUAUUUUCAUUUUAUUGACUUAGUUUUGAUUGUGAAGGCAAAAUUGCUUUGGGAUAGCAAUGCCCCAAAAUAUCUAACGUAUUAGCAAAAAAUGUGUAAAAUUUAGUAUACCACAUAGCCCUCUGGGCAUUGUUUUGGAAAAACAGUAUUAUAUAGGAACUACUACUCAAUUUUAAUACAAACUCUCAGAUGACUCCUAAGGAAAACAGUAUUUUCCUUUUCCUAGGUAAAUUAGUAUGGCAUCUCUUGGGGAUGAAAAUUGCCUCACCAUUAUGUAAUGUUUCAUUUAUUUGAGUGAUAAGAUUUUCUUUCUUUCUGUAUACAAGUUCUUGCAAGUGUUGGUGGCCUCUACACUUCUGUUGUGGUUAAGUACACAGACAACAUCAUGAAAGGCUUUUCUGCAGCAGCGGCCAUUGUCCUUUCCACCAUUGCUUCAGUAAUGCUGUUUGGAUUACAGAUAACACUCACCUUUGCCCUGGGUACUCUUCUUGUAUGUGUUUCCAUAUAUCUCUAUGGAUUACCCAGACAAGACACUACAUCCAUCCAACAAGGAGAAAUAGCUUCAAAGGAGAGAGUUAUUGGUGUGUGAUUUUAGCCUCACAUGAGACUCCUGUUAAGACUAAACCAUUUGCAUUAAACUAGAGCCUUAAGUCAAUCCCAGAAGGUAGCAUAAACAAAUAAAAAAUUAACUAUAUGGCAUAAGAAUUAAGAUCAGUGCUGUAUGUGGAAACAACGAACAAAGCUAUCUGAGUGAACUGCUAAUACAGAAACUUAAUGUGGACCUGUUUGGGGUCAAACUAUUGUUUUAGAAUGAAGGAAUUUUAUUAUUGUGUAUAUAAUUUGUACAUAAGAUGUAUGGAGAUGAUACGGUCUUUAAAAAAAAAAAAUCAUGGUGAGGCUACAAUACUCAAGUAACAAGGUUUGGGACAAUGUCUAAGGGUUAAAGUGCCAAAGCCAUUUCUGUACUAACUGUUCUCAUGUUCAGGUACCAGGGGAGAAGGAUGACCCCUCCUUAUUCUCCAAUUCAUGUACAGUAUUUUGUCCUAGCAGCAGUAAAGACUUAGUUCUUUACUUACAAGAGGCAGAAACAAGACAGACUAGUUCAUAAACAAACUGAAUGUGUAACUUCUCAAAAUGAAUCUAUUUCAUAACUCAUGAUUUCUCGGUGGUGAUUGAGUACCCCUUUAGUGCUAUAUUUGUGCCAUUCAUUAUCUGGUUCAUAUUUCUUUGCUGUUAGAUGAUAUACUUUUCUUCAAAAAAUUUCUAAUGUCACUUUUGUACUUUUUUAAAUAAAGUAUGUUUAACUGUUGGACUCUCAAUAAUUUGUGAAAUUUCAGUGUUUUCUGUAAUGUUAAUGGGGAAAUUCAGCAAUAAACUUUAUAUG